CUGAAAAAACCUGACAGAACUUCAAAACUUUAAUGCCAUCAAAUUCAUCAGACUAAACAGAGGCAAAUGACAGGACGGUUUCUAGGCCUGUCACUACAACAACUUUAAUGGACGAUAAAUUGGCCACAAUUUAUUGCAAUAAACAAUAAUGUCAUUUUGAGACAAUUUUUAAAUAUCCAAAAUAAACAAACAAAACAAUAAUUUAAGUGGAUGAUGAAGUCUCUGUAGCCAAAAUUUUAUUUUAACAGUAAAAGUCAGUUUAGACAAGAAAAACAAGCAAAAGUGGCAACCAGACUUUGUACUGGUUGUCAAAUGUUUGCAACGUUUCUCAAAAUGUCGACAUUUCAAUCAUUUUUAAGGGCAGCAUCUCUUUAACAACUGUUCACCAAAUGGAAACUAUUGAGCUCAUUUUAACUUCUGAUGUGAUUCAUCGAUUUAUAGCUUAUUGCGACAGGCUUAGCCGUUUCAUAGAUUUCUCUGCAAAACUCUCCGUCUUCUCCAAACAGAAAAACGUUAAUUUUGAAGGCAAAAAUCAUUGCAAUAAAUAAUAUUGUUGUUUUGAUUAAUUAACUAAUAAAGAUAAUGGCAAAAUAAUGCAAGCUUGUCCCGUCAAAGAUUGAUAAACUUUAAUUUUGUAAACAACACUCCACACAGGAACUGGAAGACAUUUUAAAUAUCCAAAAUAAAACACAACAAACGAGUUAAUAAAACAGAUAGUAAAAACCACAUGCAACCGAAAACAUAAAUAAAGUGGAUUAUGAUUUCUCUGAAAAGAAGGUUGCUCUUCAAAAAUAUUGAGCUUAUUUUAAUUUAUCAUGCAAUUAAUUAAGUCCUUAUUGUGACAAGCUUACCUGCAAGUCGUGUAAAUAAAAGAGACAUUUUGCCUUUUGCAGCUGCUCUUGUGUUGGAUUUCUCCUUCUGCAGCUAAUUUUGGAUUAACAAUCUGGCUUUGGAGCCAGAGUUCAUGGAAAAUCGGCUGGAGGCUGAAAGUAUCUGGUCUACGAUCAGCUUCUCUAUUUUUUAAUGUUACAGAAACUCUACAUAAACAUCUUUGUUUCAGAUACUUCCUGUAAUCCUGAACAAUCUGACCCAACAUAAAACCCUGAUUAAACAGAGGAGGAUUUACAGUAAAAAAUAAACAUUACAUAAACUUAUACAGGAAUGGUACAGGGAUCGGUAGCAGAUUAGUUUUGACGAAAAAAACAAUUCCACCUGAUCUUGUAAACCCUUUGACCUUCUCUGACAAUCUACCAUCGCUAUAGCUCAAUGGAAGAAGAAGUUUAUCUGAAACAGACUGUAUUAUAACUAAACUGUUUAUUCUAGAUGACAAAAAAUCUAAAAAAUUCCCAAAUGGGUGCAUGGAUGUUAAAUUUCUCCACAGUCAUAUCGAUUGUCUGAAUCGGAGAUCUGGAAUCUGUGUUAGAAAACUAAAUUUAUUCAGAAAACAGCGACCUGUAAAAUGGACUCUGAACCUUUUCACAUUUUGGCCUCUUGCAACCACAAGCUCGGCUGGAUUUUAACCAUUUUACAACACACACCCCGACAUACAACAGCAUGGUCCAGUCAAAGUUCUGACCAACAGCUGGUUCCAAAUUUUGUAGCAAGAUCUUCACUAAUGGUCAUAUCAGUAAACAUUCAGAUUUCCAAAGAAAAGCUGCUAGAGACAAACCAUAACAAACUCACAGCUGGAGUAAAAACAAAAUGUGACUUUACAAAGUACUGACUCAGCAGUAGCACACCACACUUUUCAGAUUUUUAUCUCUACUAAAAUGUAAUGCCACAAUGUUCAUCCACUUGACAACUAUGCUCUUUAGUCUAUCAUAUAAAAUCACCUAAAUUACAUUGAAGUUUGUGGAUUUAAUAUAGCAAAAUGUGGAAAAGUUUAAGUGGUAUGAAUACUUACAAAUGGGCAAGAAUAAACCUCAGUCAAUAGGUUUUACAGACAGAUUUACACCUGCUUUGGUGAUUGGAACUGAUAUAAUAUUGCUCAUAUUUGUUCAACAUUACCAUUUCCCUUCUCAUAUAAAAGCUGUUACUCAAACCUCAAACUAUACAAGUGCUAACGUUUACAUUGCUAACAUUCUAUCUGUAGACAAAGUGUGAACUGUUAUUCUCAAGGGAAAUUAGUUUUCCACUUAAAGGAAAACCUUCCACCCUUGUCUUCUCUGGCAGGAUUAGCACCAUUACCUUCAUAACAAAAGCAGCACAUCUUCAGUACUUUGACAUCGUUGUCGGUGUUUGUCUCAGAAUCACCAAGUUGUCACAUGAGUCAGAAUUUGAAAGUAACAAAUCACAACACUUAAAUUUCCAGAUGACAGAGUUCAACCUGUUCCCUGGGCCAGAAUGCUGCAUGUUGAAGAUGCUUAUCUGCAGCAGCACACAGGCUUUCACACAACCUGACAACUUACUGCUUUAGCUGACUUUUCUUUUUUUUGUAGCAGCAAAAACAAAAAAGCUUCAGAAACCUACAGAUAAUCAUGUCCUGUGAAUCAGGGUGGGGAAACACGGUCUCAUUAUCCACCAUUAUUAUUAAUAGACAAGUUAUGCUGCUGUCAUAAAGGUUAAAUACUGAACUCCUCACACCCCGGUCCUGGGCUCAGUCUUUGUUUCCUGCAGCAGAAUAGGACUCUGUAGCUAUCCGCUGCUGUUUGUGUUUCUAUUAAAAACAGAUUUGGUCCAAUAGGAAUCACAUCUAUGUCAGAACAUUAUUUACAUUUGCAACCCCAGUUACUUUAUGGAAUAAGAUUUGACAUAAAAAAUAAAGUAAUAUUUGGUGAAUUUAAGUGUUUAUAAAAUGUUUGCAUUCUCUACAAUUUAUAUUAAGCAUAUUAAGAAAUACCUUCAAAUAAACACUUAAUAUAUGGUAAAGAUGCAUAAUUAUUCAUUAUUUACAUACUCUGAAUUGUCACUAUUCUAUGUAGAUAAACAAACAACCAUUUAUCACAAACCCUGACUUGUUUUCAUUUACUUUUUCCCUUCUGAUACUGAUAUUGCAGGUCUGAGUAUUGACCUAUACUGAUACUGACCCAAUACAAUACCAGCAUGAAUCAUACAUACUUCUAAUACUGAUUCUGUCAUGUGGCAUGCUAGAAAAAGACCUGAUCAAGUGAUAUUAACCUGAGAUUUUAGAUGCAGGCCGAUAUAAUAGAUAGAUACUCAUUUUUGACUGAUAUCGGACCACUUUCCGAUAUCAGUACUGAAUCAGGACACCCCUGUUACUGCUAUGUACCUCCAACAUGUCCUGUAAUUUAUAUCACAGGUUCAUUCAGGAACACACUUAAAGUCAGUUAAUGUGAUUAAAAUAAAUAUUUGUCAUUUUUAUGUUACUUGAAUUAUUAAGUAACUGCACUGACUGAAUAGCAUAAGAACUGUAUAGGUGAACAGAAUAAACUGUUAUAGGAACAAUUAACCCAAUGAAUAUUAAAUAUUAAAAAAUAUUUAUUAAGCAACUAAAUAAAGACAGUUUUUUAAAUAUUAUUUUUAACCGUAGUGACUAAAUUGUAUUAAAAUAGCAUGAGUAAUUAUCACAAACUAUUUCUGUUUCAUGUAAACUUCAAGUCCUUCCAACUGUUACCUGUUUAUUUUUUAAUUAAUAUUUCUCAAUUAGACAGUGCGGCUAAAAAAAGACAAAAAGAUUUGAUAGAAAAUGUUUAUUUUUAACUUAAAUAUUUAGAGCCACACAGAAAUGUGAAAAAUAUAGAUUUAUUAUGAAGCAAUAGUAAAUGAACUGUACAAUUAUGUAGGUAAAUAGAAACUGU